GGGGAUGAUCGGCUUCGACAAGGGGCGUACUUUGAAACGCGCAGGUAGAGCCGGGGUAACUCUUUAAAAGGCCCCAAACCACAAGUGCAAACAAAUUGCGCUCAAUCGUUUCUCCUUACUUUAAGGCGAACGACUUUGCGUUCGUGUACGCUUAAGCGACGAACGUGAACGCUCUCACUUUUGAUUUCUGGUAGAUGGAUGAGAGUGUUAUACCACCAGGAUAGGCAAACGACUCGUUCCGAUCGUUUCGCUGAAACCAAGGAGCUCGAUGCAGUUCGAUUUUGUAUCUUUCAUACGAUCUGCAUUUAAAUCCGUCACAUGACGGACUGAAAAAUACUAAACCUGUAGAUCCGUUUUAAACAACUCUUUGCACGCGGGUUCGAUUCCCGCCAUCUCCAUUC
rnacentral:tmRNA from 1 species